CAGAGCAGGCCCAGCGCUGGUCUCAGGGCAGCGCUCUGGGGGCGUCUCCACCAUGGCCUGGGCCCUGCUCCUCCUCUCCCUCCUCACUCAGGGCACAGGGUCCGGGGCCCAGUCUGCCCUCACCCAGCCUUCCUCCGUGUCCGGGAAUCCGGGACAGUCGGUCACCAUCUCCUGUGCUGGAACCAGCAGUGACGUUGGGAAGUAUAACUAUGUCUCCUGGUACCAACAGCACCCGGGCACGGCCCCCAAACUCCUGAUUUAUAAUGUGAAUACUCGGACCUCAGGGAUCCCUGAUCGCUUCUCUGGCUCCAAGUCCGGCAACACGGCCUCCCUGACCAUCUCAGGGCUCCUCGCUGAGGACGAGGCUGACUAUCACUGCAGCUCGUACAGGAGUGGUAACGCUCUCCACGGUGGUGCAAGUGCCUGGGGAAUGAAGGUGGCCUCCCUGCUGGGUUGA